rnacentral:lncRNA from 1 species
UUAAGUCACUUGUGAAUUGCACUUGAAAAGUAUACAAAUUGCCAUGGCAUAGUGAAAAUGCAAAAUACACAACCAAUGACCAUGGGACAAGUUGCAACACAUCACACAUGUCAUUUUGAGAGUGUGUGAGCUGUCAAUGAGCUGUCACAGGGCCCAGUGUGAAAUGGCAUUUUUGCCCUUGCUUUGUAAGAUUUCACAUGUUGCUAAUUACAUCAUUUUUUGUUAAUUGAGGAUUAAGAGUGGAUUAAGC